UUAAACGAGAGUUUGAUCCUGGCUCAGAAUCAACGCUGGCGGCGUGCCUAACACAUGCAAGUCGAACGAGAAAGGGUAGCAAUACCUGAGUAAAGUGGCGCACGGGUGAGUAACACGUGACUAACCUACCCUGGAGUGGGGGAUAACUAAGAGAAAUCUUGGCUAAUACCGCAUAAUACCUACGGGUCAAAGGAGCAAUUCGCUUCAGGAGGGGGUCGCGGCCGAUUAGUUAGUUGGCGGGGUAAUGGCCCACCAAGACAGUGAUCGGUAUCCGGCCUGAGAGGGCGCACGGACACACUGGAACUGAAACACGGUCCAGACUCCU
rnacentral:rRNA from 1 species